CUUAUUUUAUUUUAAGCCAAAGGAAGGAGGUGAAGGAAGAUUAUUAAGGAAUCUCUACUACUAAUGGUGUCCUGUCAUUUAGUGGCAAUCUCAAAAUCCAGUAAGAGGACAUGCUGCGAUCUGCAGAGUCAACAUUGAUGUUGUUACCAAGGGAAGUACAUUUCUGUCAGAUAUGGUAUACCAGUGAAGAAACCAGAACUUUAAAAUAUCGCUGAGCAGUGCAGACUUGCCUAGAACCAACAACAUCAGGUCACUAAACCAGGAGGGCUGCAAUUUCAAGCUAUCAACAUGGACCCAGGAGAAAAGCCUGUCUAAAGAAACAACAUUAGGUGUACAGACUCAAAUUAAUAACUGUUGUGUGCCAAACUGCUCUUCUGUCCUAAUGCUUGAGAUAGUUUGAUGAUGGAAAGUUGUGUCUACCUUCUGACUCAAGUGCUAAUGGAGGCCCAUAUUUAAUAAAUUCACAUAUAAAUGGUACAACAAUUUGUCAGGUAGUACACAUGUUUCUGCUGUAAUUAUGAAUUAGUUUGUAUUUAGAGCCUGAAACUCUUUGCUAGAGUCUACCUUAUGUGAUUCUGUGGUCUGUGAAGCCUAAUAAUUGUACUCAUUUCACUGUAACACAUUUAUGUCAUUAAAAAGAUGGCCUUUAAUUGUUUUCUCAAGAUAGGUCACAAUAAAAACUAUUUAAUACUUA